GUAGAGCACUGAAUUUCCGCGGGGGCGUCAAAGCUUACCAAAGAAUAUCAAACUCCGAAUGCCAUGUAGAUGAUGAACGGGAGUCAGACUGCACGAGAUAAGUUGGGCAGUCAAAAGGGAAAGAGCCCAGACCGCCAGCCAAGGUCCCAAAGUGUGUGUUAAGUGGAAAAGGAUGUGGGAUCUCCAAGACAACUAGGAUGUUGGCUCAGAAGCAGCCACACAUUCAAAGAGUGCGUAACAGCUCACUAGUCGAGAGGUCCUGCGCCGAAAAUGUCCGGGGCUGAAACACAACACCGAAGCUGCGGAAUUGCGAAUGCAAUUGGUAGAGGAGCAUUCUUAAUACCGACGAAGCUGUACCGGAAGGAGCAGUGGAGGGAUAAGAAGAGAGAAUGCCGGAAUGAGUAGCGAGAGAGAGGUGGGAAUCCUCUCGGCCGAAUAUCCAAGGUUUCCAGAGUAAAGCUGAUCUGCUCUGGGUAAGUCGGGGCCUAAGGCGAGGUCAAAAGACGUAGCCGAUGGACAACAGGUUUAGAUUCCUGUACCGCAUAUAAACAGAACUGUGGGGACGCAUGGGGAGAGCAUGGGCCGGGAAUGGAAAUACCGGUGCAAGCGAAGGAGGUGUGCAGCCGGCAAAUCCGCUGCAUGAGCCGAAAGCGUGACGCGGAGCGAAAUGAAAGUAGCGAAGCAUGUGAGCCCUGUGCCGAGAAAAGCCGCUAUUGCUUUAUAUGUGCCCGUACCGUAAACCGACACAGGUGGAUGAGGAGAGAAUCCUAAGGCCGGCGGAAGAAGUAUUGUUAAGGAACUCGGCAAAAUGACCCCGUAACUUCGGGAGAAGGGGUGCCCACGGGAGUGGGCCGCAGAGAAUAGGCUCAAGCAACUGUUUAGCAAAAACACAGGUCUAUGCGAAACCGAAAGGUGAAGUAUAUGGGCUGACGCCUGCCCGGUGCUGGAAGGUUAAGAGGAGAGGUUAGCGCAAGCGAAGCUUUGAAUUUAAGCCCCAGUAAACGGCGGCCGUAACUAUAACGGUCCUAAGGUAGCGAAAUUCCUUGUCGGGUAAGUUCCGACCCGCACGAAAGGCGUAAUGAUUUGAGCACUGUCUCGACAAUGCAUCCGGUGAAAUUGAAGUACCAGUGAAGAUGCUGGUUACCCGCGCCAGGACGGAAAGACCCCAUGGAGCUUUACUCCAGUUUGGUACUGGGAUUCGGUACUGCACGUACAGGAUAGGUGGGAGACUUUGAAACUUGAACGCCAGUUUGAGUGGAGUCGCUGUUGGGAUACCACCCCUGCAGUAUUGGAUUUCUAACCAGUCACCGUGACCCGGUGAUGGGACAAUGCCAGGCGGGGAGUUUGACUGGGGCGGUCGCCUCCGAAAGGGUAUCGGAGGCGCUCAAAGGUUCCCUCAGAAUGGUCGGAAACCAUUUGAAGAGUGCAAAGGCAGAAGGGAGCUUGACUGCGACACCGACGGGUGGAGCAGGUAGGAAACUAGGACUUAGUGAUCCGGUGGCAUAAAGUGGGAUUGCCAUCGCUCAACGGAUAAAAGCUACCCUGGGGAUAACAGGCUUAUCACUCCCAAGAGUUCACAUCGACGGAGUGGUUUGGCACCUCGAUGUCGGCUCAUCGCAUCCUGGGGCUGUAGCAGGUCCCAAGGGUUGGGCUGUUCGCCCAUUAAAGCGGUACGCGAGCUGGGUUCAGAACGUCGUGAGACAGUUCGGUCCCUAUCCGGCGCGGGCGGAGGAUAUUUGAGAGGAGCUGUCCUUAGUACGAGAGGACCGGGAUGGACGGACCACUGGUGUAUCUGCUGUCGACCAACGGCAUGGCAGAGUAGCCAAGUCCGGAAGGGAUAAACGCUGAAGGCAUCUAAGCGUGAAGCCCCCCUCAAGAUGAGAUAUCCCUCACAUAAGUGAGUAAGAUCCCUUGAAGACUACAAGGUAGAUAGGGCAGAGGUGGAAGUGUGGCAACACAUGGAGCUGACUGUUACUAAUCGAUCGAGGGCUUGACCAA
rnacentral:rRNA from 1 species